GCGGCUCGAGAAGGCCGAACGAAUAAGGUUAACAGAGCCAGAUUAGACGGUAUGUGUGUACCCAGAUUUCAUAUGGCGCUCGGACGACAUGGACACUGACGUGGAAAUGGCAUCACCAUCCCUGCUGUGGGACAAUGAGUCAGAGUAAGGACAAUGCCCGACUCAAGAGCUACAAGAACAAGUCGCUCAACACAGACGAAAUGAGGAGACGGCGGGAAGAGGAGGGCCUGCAGCUCCGUAAGCAAAAGAAGGAUGAACAGCUGUUUAAAAGGAGAAAUGUUGCAACGGCGGAAGACGACUGUGGCGCGCUGGAAGAUGAUGGAAUGGCUGACAGCGGCUGCCUGGAGUCCCAGGCAAACAAGGUGGACCCACUCCUGGGUGGCAUUAUCUCUGGGGAUAUGACUCAAAUGAUCUUUUGCACUACUCCUGAGCAGCAACUCAUCGGUACCCAGCGAUUUCGGAAACUCCUCUCGAAAGAGCCUAAUCCACCCAUCGACGAAGUCAUCGCCACUCCCGGUGUGGUUGAGCGCUUUGUGGAGUUCCUGAAAAGGAGAGAAAACUGCACGUUGCAGUUUGAGGCUGCAUGGGUGCUUACAAACAUCGCAUCGGGCACCUCCCACCAGACGCGGGUAGUCAUCCAGGCCGGCGCUGUGCCCAUUUUUGUAGAGAUGCUCAGCUCAGAUUUUGAAGACGUACAAGAGCAGGCUGUGUGGGCACUGGGUAACAUAGCAGGAGACAGCACAGAAUGCCGAGACUUUGUUGUUGACUGCAACAUUCUGCCUUCACUGCUGCAGUUAUUGGCUAAACAGACUCGUCUAACAAUGAUGAGGAAUGCAGUGUGGGCGCUCUCAAACCUGUGCAGGGGGAAGAAUCCUCCUCCUGACUUCACAAAGGUGUCCCCGUGUCUCAGCGUGCUUUCAUGGCUGCUGUUCGUCAAUGACACAGACAUCAUGGCUGAUGCAUGCUGGGCUCUCUCAUACCUGUCAGAUGGCCCCAACGACAAAAUCCAGGCCGUCAUCGACUCGGGGGUUUGUCGCAGGCUGGUGGAGUUAUUGAUGCACACUCAUUACAAGGUGGUGUCUCCCGCUUUACGAGCCGUUGGUAACAUCGUCACCGGUGAUGAUUUUCAGACACAGGUAAUCCUCAACUGUUCAGCACUGCAGUCGCUUUUCCACCUACUGAACAGCCCCAAAGAGUCCAUCAAAAAGGAAGCCUGCUGGACCAUCUCCAACAUCACAGCGGGGAACCGAGCACAAAUACAGAUGGUGAUUGACGCUAAUCUCUUGACUCCUCUCAUCAACAUCCUGCAAGUGGCAGAGUUCCGCACAAGAAAGGAGGCGGCAUGGGCAAUUACCAACGCCACUUCAGGGGGCUCUGCAGAGCAGAUCAGCUACCGCUCGAAAUGCCGGGCCAAAUGGCGACAUCCUCGGCCGCUUGCCAGCCGAUCGUCUGCCGAUCAGGAUUUGAGUAAAUGGGAUCCGGAAUCGUCAGAUGAGUCGACUCCCUCCGGAUCGCCAGCGGAGCCGCAUCCCUCCGGAUGAUAUGGAGACGAAGGAAUUCAACACACGCGAGUAGAACGUCUUUUACGAUUGCAACGAAGAAAAGUUAUGCAUCCAGCAGACGUUCGACCCCCAUUCCAGUUUGCAGUGCAGACAAAAAAGGUUGUGCGUCGAGCAGAAGUAAGGACUGGUUUCAAGGACAAUGACAACCACAAAAGACCGCCACUAAAGAUUGAUUUUAUCCAGAUGUGGGUAAAACUUAGCUAGAAUUGAUCAGAAUCAAAAUCAUCUUUAUUUUGCCAAGUAUGUGCAAAAAACAUACAAGGAAUUUGUCUUCGGUAGUUGGAGCCGCUCUAGUACGACAACAGACAGUCAAUUGACAGAGAACACUUUGGAGACCUAAAGACAUUGACAAAAAACAGUCGCUGAGCAAUAAAAGGUUGCUCAUAAUCUGGUAAUGCCAGUCCAAAUUUGUCAUUCGUUUAUUUAUUUUUUUUGGUUCUGUUUCUUCCCCCCCCCCCCCCCCCCCCCCCCGCAAGGUAAUAAAAACCUGGACUAUUGCACAAACGGUAGAGGAGAAUUUGGAGGAAAAACGUGCACGUGUGGGAGCCCCAUUUGUUCAUGCAUUUUUGUCUAAUGUAAGUUCUGUGCAGUUAUAUUUGUAAAUAAAUGAUUUUUCUGUCAAAAGUACUUUUUCAGUGUUGUUUUAUGUUCAGAUGUUUGAGAUUUUCACUGAAGAAAAAAAAUAUUGGUGUCAAAGUCAUUGUUCUGCUUGAUCUGUCUGCUUUUUUUGUUGCUUCCAGUAACAGAUUUGCCUGAAAGUCGCCUAUAUUUGACUGCUGAUGACUAAAGAACGGUGUAAGCUAGAGACAGACUUUUUUUUCUGAUGAAAGAAGACGGUGAGAUCUUUCUUUUGGUGGUUUUGGUGUUCACAUAGUCAUAGUACACAAUAUUCUGUGGGGUUUUAAAAAUGAGUGAAAUUGCUCGACAAUGCCUGGCAGUCUAUAGGGGUUCCCUGCUCAGGAACCUGCUGGCAGUGAAUGAGUUAAUAGUACUGGGUGUGCCCCCCUUUUCCUGUGAGAAAACAACUGGUCGUUCAUCCCGAACCAGGUGCGUUUAAACUCCCGUCGUUUCAUCUUCAAAAAACAUUUUUGAAGAUGAAGGUGAUCAAACCAUCAGACUUGGUUUGUUUCCUACUCUGGGCCCCCCCAGCUGGCGGACAUGGCGAAAAGUUAUGUUGUUGACGUUUUCCUUCCGAUUGUGAGCCCCACCGCCAUGCAUCUCUUGACUUGUGCCUCUGGGUUUGACUUUUCAGAUUGAAUGUCAAGUUUAGUUUUCUUUUUGUAAGGACUUCAUUGCAAUGGCUGCUUGAAGCUCAGUGUUGUCUUCUUCAAACUCCUUAACUUGUUUGUGCAUGUUGGUUUUGAGUUCAUCUCCUGAUGCAACAAGUCAAGGAGUGAUAGUGACCACUGUUUCUGGAGAACCAAAAAGAUGAUCGUCGGUGCUUGUGGAAGAGUCUCCUUUCUUGCCCGUUCGCCAGAUUGGCGAGGCAGGCGCUUGUGUCCUCCAUGACAGCGGUUGAAGUAGCCUGUUGACUCGGUGAACUUUUCGAGCGGCAUUGAUCUGCAAUAGCUGAAAAGGGCUUUUUUUGUUUGUUUCGGACCGAAAGAGCAAAAACCGCGUCCAGCGUGCGCUCGUGUACAGUAUACAGUAAAAAAAGAAAUACAUUAAACAAAAACGCCUAGUCCACAUUGAACAGUCGCCCAACCUUGCUGUUUUCUGCUGUUGGGGAACUUAGGGGGAAUGCUUGUUACAUGCUAUUAUGUGCCGCCCCAGCUCCCUACGAGCUACAGCUAACGCGGCUAAAUACGAUGCUGAUGCUACAGAGGCAAACGAAGAUCCCUGGUCAACACAGCAUACUCGCUAAAGGGGGAAUUAACCCUAACCCAGAUGAGGUGGCUGGGGCAUCUGAUUCGGAUGCCUCCCCGGUGAGGUGUUCCGGGCACGUCCCACCGGGAGAGACUGUCUCUCGGCUGGCCUGGGAACGCCUCGGGAUCCGCCCGGAAGAGAUGGAUGAAGUGGCUGGGGAGAGGGAAGUCUGGCCCUCCCCGCUAAAGCUACUGCCCCCGCGACCCGACCUCAGAUAAGCGGUAGAAAAUGGAUGGAUGAAACCUGCCAAUUAUUAGUAAAAUUGCAUUUAUGACGAUGACUGCAGAGCUGCUAAUCGAUAGAAAUUCCCUUCCAGAUCAUCCGUCCAUCCGUUUUCUGUACCGAUUAUCCUCACUAGGGUCAUGGGCGUGCUGGAGCCUAUCCCAUCUCUCUUCGGGCGAGAGGCGGGGUACACCCUGAACCGGUCGCCAGCCAAUCGCAGGGCACAUGUAAACGAACAACCUACGGGCGCUUUAGUCUUCAAUCAACCUACGACGCCUGUUUUUGGGAUGUGGGAGGAAACCGGAGUACCCGGAGAAAGCUCACACAGACACGGGGAAAACAUGCCAACUCCACACAGACGGACGGGGCCGGGGAUUUGAACCCCGCUCCUCAGAACUGUGAGGCAGAUAUCCACCAUGCUGCCAAUUUUUCUGAAUUUCCAUGUUUUUAAAAUGGUCAAGAAUAUUACCGCGGGACAGUUAUUGCAAUAUGAUUUUAAAGUUAAAAUAAAUCUGCGUACUGUGCAAUUUCCCAAUCAUUUUAAUCGUAAAUAAAUUAUGGCUUUAAUAUUUCUUUAAAGUAUUGCCUCAACCUGGCAGAUGCAUUAGCAUUCAAAUGGCUUUUCUGUAUGCUCUUUUUGUGUUUCCUUUAUCCACUGUUGCUGCUGAAAUGAUGCAGAUUUUCCCCUUUCACACCUCCCUCAAAUAGGCGGCUACCGCAGGUAAUCAUCUCGGUUCGUAGACCGCUAUUGUUCAUUCAUGGACAUGAAAUACUUAACAUGAACACAUUUGAACUCUGUUGCUAACCAAAACAGCAACACGUCAACCAUGUCGUGCUGUAUUAAAUAUGCUGUUGCGUUAUAUGGAGAUGGUGUCAAUGUAUCACUGUUCAAGGAUAACCGAGAACAGAGCUGCUUUGCCUCCAUGCUAAGCAUUAUUUGCUU